rfam:Dipodomys ordii contig_14009, whole genome shotgun sequence.
GGGAAGGUAGCUCAGUGGUAGAGUGCAUGCCCUGCAAGCAUGAGGCCCUGGGUUCGAUUCCUCAGCACCA